rnacentral:rRNA from 1 species
GGAAAGAUGAAAAGAACUUUGAAAAGAGAGUUAAACAGUACGUGAAAUUGUUGAAAGGGAAACGAUUGAAGUCAGUCGUGCUGGCGCGAAAUCAACCAUCUCGUCUUGAGGUCGCAUGGCGCGACGAGCCUCAAAACCGCCACGAAGUGUGAACUCUUGACGAAAAGGUGCACUUUCGUGUCCGCUGGUUAACAUCAAUUUCGACCGUCAUAAAAAGGCUGGAGAGAUGUGGCUCCUUCGGGAGUGUUAUAACCUUUAGCGGAAUGUGGUGGUCGGGAUUGAGGAUUGCAACGAAUACCUUCAGGGCUGUUCCACCUGGCUUCUCAUUGGUAUCCUGGUGACGACAGCUUGCUGACUUUGUUAGGAUUCGCCUCUGAACAGGCUAGAGUGUGAGCAAAUUCGUUAAGGAUGUUAACGUAAUGGCUUUAAACGACCGUCUUGAAACACGGACCA